ACAAGUAAUCAAGUGCUCAAACAUACAUAUUAGUGGGAGUGCACCGAAUGAAGCAGCACCCCACCACUAUUAAAAAUCUGAAUUGAAAGAGACCACCAAACAAAGCAAAAAAUACAGAAAUAUUUCUUGAAGCUAGAGCUUCUAGCUGUUGACCCUUUAAUGACCUUUGCUGAUCUACUCAAACUGUCUGCUUUCAUUACAUACAGAGCUGAAAAUACACAGGCAUUUGAAGGGGUCACUGGCUGCUGCUGAGUAUACUGUGGAAAAAGGGAAUGAAAGAUACUUCAAGAUUAUGAGGUUUCUGUCCACCCUUUCGAUUUUUGUUUGCUAAUUUGCGAGUUGGAGCAAAAAUGGCUGAGGAUAUUUGUUUCUUUGCGAAGGAAAGUAUCAUGAUAAAACCUCCCAAGAAAUCUCCAGCAUUGUUAAGGAUGGUUGUUGUAGUGUUUACACUGAUCUUUGGUAUUUAUAUCUGUUCAAUUUGUCUUAAACAAACUAGCAUGGCGAAAACAAGUAAAUACUUGAACGUUGAAGUCAUAGAAAGGCCUUGCCAUAACUAUGACAUGGAUCAAUCCCAAAUUCCAUAUGUGCAUUAUCCGAAGCCAAAAACCUUUAGCCGGGCCGAAUGUGGCUGCAAUCCUGUACGGCUCUUUGCGAUUCUCUCAAUGCAGAGGUCUGGGAGUGGAUGGUUUGAGACACUUUUGAAUAGUCAUAUGAAUGUAAGCUCCAAUUGUGAAAUAUUCUCUGUCAAAGAUAGGAGACAAAAUGCUUCUUCAAUCCUGAGGACAUUGGAGACGGUUUACAAUUUGGACGUCUUUACGAGUGCUUCCAAAAAUCACUGCUCAGCUGCAGUGGGCUUCAAGUGGAUGCUUAAUCAGGGUUUAAUACAACACCAUAAGGAAAUUGCUGAGUACUUCAAUAAAAAGGGCGUUUCAGUCAUAUUUCUCUUUAGAAGGAAUCUGCUGCGACGGAUGGUUUCAGUGCUCUCAAAUUCCUAUGAUCGAUAUGCCAAACUCUUGAAUGGAACACACAAGUCUCAUGUGCACUCACAUGAAGAGGCUGGUACUCUUGCAAAGUAUAAACCAGAAAUCAAUACAACAUUGUUGAUCAUGGAUUUGAAGAGAAUGGAGGUAGCAGCCACGGAGGCACUGGAAUACUUCAAUAGCACUCGGCAUAUGAUUCUGUAUUACGAAGAUAUUGUUAGAAAUCAAGCUAAAUUGGUAGAUGUUCUUGAGUUUCUAAGAUUGCCAGAGAUGGAUCUAAGUAGCCGUCAAGUUAAGAUACAUAACGGGCCAUUACAAGAGUAUAUCAAGAACUGGGUUGAUGUGAACAAGACCUUGAGUGGAACAGUUUAUGAGAAGUUCCUCCGAGCUGAUUAUUAAUUUCAGACUUCUCACUUUCACUUGAUCGAUGAACGAGGUGUAGAUAUCAACUGUUUUUUUCGUGCUAAAGCUGACUGGUAUAUUUUCAACUUGGAAAAGCUUCCUGCUGCAUUUGCCUCUGAAAAUCAGUCGAAAUUCAGCAUAGUACCAAGUUGCACUCGCAUGUAUCCGUAGGUUUUUUCUAUUUUAUUCCACAUUUAAGUGUAUAGUGAGGUAACUACAGUUGGGCAGUGCCAAAGGCAAAGUAGUCAUAGAUCUGCAGCUGAACAGAAGAAUUGCAAAGGUUGUCCCCUUGUCUGGCCUGAGGCCCAGAGCUGAAUUAUUAGUUGAAUACAAUUUUAGCCCUUGAGAAUCUUGUGUUCGAAGAAGAAAAGAUUUUUUGAUUUGUGUGAUACAUGAAUUUUCUUAGUUCAUGUACUAGAAACUUAUUACUAAGAUACAUGUAUUACUAGGAAAGAGUGGGAAGAAAUGAUUAAUUGGCAUACAUGUACUAGAUUAGGUGCAUGCUAGAAGAAUCCACUUGUCUCAAAGAGAUAAAGAUUGAUUAAGUUGAGUGAAGUAAAGAAAGAAUUAUUUCCUCA